rnacentral:rRNA from 1 species
AGUGAACGCUGGCGGUAGGCCUAACACAUGCAAGUCGAACGGCAGCACAGUAAGAGCUUGCUCUUACGGGUGGCGAGUGGCGGACGGGUGAGGAAAACACCGGAAUCUACUUUUUCGUGGGGGAUAAUGUAGGUAAACUUACGCUAAUACCGCAUACGACCUACGGCUGAAAGCAGGGGAUCUUCGAUCCUUGCGCGAUUGAAUGAGCCGAUGUGGAAUUAGCUAGUUGGCUGGGUAAAGGCCCACCAAGGUGACGAUCCGUUGCUGGUUUGAGCGGAUGAGCAGCCACAUGAGAAAUGAGACACGGUGCAGACUCCGACUGGAAGCGGAAGGGGUGUACAUUAGACAGUGGGAGGAUGCCUUACCCAGUAAUACCGCGUGAGUGACGAAGGCCUUCAGGUUGUAAAGCCCUUUUGUUGGGAAAGAAAGGCAGCAGGUUAAUACCCCGAUGUGCUGACGGUACCCAAAGAAUAAGCACCGGCUAACUUCGUG